rnacentral:misc_RNA from 1 species
UUAAGUUCAGCAGGUAUCCCUACCUGAUCCGAGGUCAAAGUAAAAAAGAGGCUUAAUGGAAGGAGUUACGCUGAAAUCAUGACGCAAUGUGCUGCGCACGAAGCCAACAUACCGGCUGCCAAUAAAUUUAAGGCGAGUCCACGCACUGAGGCGGAACAAACACCCAACACCAAGCAGUGCUUGAAGGUUUAAAUGACGCU